CGGCUGAGAUCGAGGGGCCAGGAACCCGAAGCCCAGUGUGCUGGCUGGACACACAUGGCCCAGGUGGGGGUUGGCUGGUGAGCUCAGCAGGUUCCUCCUCCCCAGGCCCGGGAUGCCUGCUCCGUGGGUGUGUCCGGUCCAACUGGAAAAACCAGGCCUGGGAGACCAGGGCCUGGCGACUGCAGCAGGCCACAAGAAGAGGACAAGGCCUUGCAGGUGCAGUGGAAGGGAAGAAGCUGAUGCCAGCCAUCCCCAGCUCUUCCUCCUAAGCUCUUCCCCGUUGUUGCUCUGGGUGUCUUUCAUUUGCUGCUCUUGAAGAAGCGACCAGGCCCCAACUCCUCCCAGUAAACGGGGCUGAGCCAGCAGUGUCCUCGAGGAAGGGAGGCCGGGCUCCUCAUUUUGGCCGUGGGCUCCACCCAUCACCGCUUUGGGACCCGCAGGAGCAGGGACCCCAGGAGCAGGGACCUGACAGCGCACAGCGGCUUCUCCCUCCCUCCCCGCCUUAGACCCCGCUCCGUCCUCCCCCGGCCCCUAGCUGGGUCUCCUUUUCCUUUUGGCACCAUGACGGGUAUUUACUGCUGGUUUCUGCUCGAGCCUGGUGGGGCAGAAGCGGGGGCAGCCUGGCACCCUGCCCUCUCUGCCCUGUGCAGUGAGGGUGGCAGAGCUGGCACAGGCGUGGGGGCGCCCUGCACCCUUCCCCUGGUACUAAGCUAAGCUCCAGGCCAGGGGGUGCUCAGAGGCUUUGGGGUGUCUGCUUGGCAGCAGCCUCUGACCUUGCCUUCUAGGGACACGGGGUACCUGGGCCCCACUGCCACUGUCCCUAGCCAGUCCCAGCAACAGCUCAGGGAGUGGGUCCUAGGCCGGGGGGGCACUGACGGCCAGGUGCCGGGUGGUGAGCUCAGUCCCGGCAGCCUGAGGCCCAGCCCAGUGAGUCUGAUCCGCCACGUUUGAGAGAGGCAGGAAAGCGGGACUUCAGCUUGAGGGCCCCCAGUUUUCCACUGUGAGCCCCAGUGUUUUAAACAUGCCGAGUCUGGAAGGAAGUGUUCCACCUGGCGCAGCGGCUGCAGCCCACCUGAGGUCCCCUGGGGCUGAUCGGGUACCACCCCACCUGGACUUCUGGGCCCCAGUCCUAGAUUUAGGUCAAAGGACAACAGGACACAAAACCAGCUCCAUGUCACAACCCACACAGAGCACGGCAUGUCUCUUGGGUUCAAUUCCUUUCAUGUUCCAAGAUGGGGCUGUGAGUUUGUCAGCAGUUUCUUACAAGUCACCCUGUCUGUGAGACCUGCUGGAAAACGUCAUGUUCAAUCUGCCAUCUCAGAGCAACCACUGUGAGUGGUACCUCUUGCCGUUGUACAGUGCGAAACCUAUUCCGGGUUCCUGACUCUUGUUUUUUUGAGGAACCCCGAUGUUCAAACACUAAUUUUCACUUGGUUGUUUUUCUAGGAGAUCGCAGGUGGUUGCUUUUAAAAUUUUCUUUCUUUUGGCAGCACUGGGAUUGAACCCAGGGCCUGCACACAGAGCAACAUCUCCAGCCCUUUUUAAAAUGUCUUAGUUUUAAGGCAGGGUCCUGCUAAGUCACUAAGUUGCCCAGGCUGGCUUGGAACUUGCAGUCCUCCUGCCUCAGGCUCCCAGGGUGCCGAAGAUGAUUUCUGAAGGACACACAGGCAAAGGAGGAUGUAGCCCUUUUCCCUUUCUUCUCUACAGCAGAAUUCUUUACUGUUUUUACAGCCGACAGUUUGUCCCCAGGAAGAAAAGACUUUUAUGACCUGGAA